GACAGAGGGUGCAAACGUUGUUCGGAAUUACUGGGCGUAAAGCGCGUGUAGGCGGCCUUGCAAGUCGGAUGUGAAAGCCCUCGGCUCAACCGGGGAAGUGCACCCGAAACUGCAAGGCUCGAGUUCCGGAGAGGAUAGUGGAAUUCUCGGUGUAGAGGUGAAAUUCGUAGAUAUCGAGAGGAACACCGGUGGCGAAGGCGGCUAUCUGGACGGUGACUGACGCUGAGACGCGAAAGCGUGGGGAGCAAACAGG
rnacentral:rRNA from 1 species